rnacentral:rRNA from 1 species
UACAGAGGGGGGCAAGCGUUAUUCGGAAUUAUUGGGCGUAAAGGGCGCGUAGGCGGCUUUGCAAGUGGCGGGUGAAAGCCCUCGGCUUAACCGAGGAACUGCCUGUCAGACUGUGAGGCUUGAGACCGGGAGAGGUGAGUGGAAUUCCCAGUGUAGCGGUGAAAUGCGUAGAUAUUGGGAGGAACACCAGUGGCGAAGGCGGCUCACUGGACCGGAACUGACGCUGAGGCGCGAAAGCGUGGGGAGCAACAGG